GAUGAACGCUGGCGGCGUGCCUAAUACAUGCAAGUCGAGCGCACGGACGAGAAGCUUGCUUCACUGGUGUUAGCGGCGGACGGGUGAGUAACACGUGGAUAACCUACCUAUAAGCCUGGGAUAACUUCGGGAAACCGGAGCUAAUACCGGAUAAUAUUUUUAACCGCAUGGUUCAAAAGUGAAAGACGGUAUUGCUUCAACUUAUAGAUGGAUCCGCGCUGCAUUAGCUAGUCGGUAAGGUAACGGCUUACCAAGGCAACGAUGCAUAGCCGACCGGAAAGGGUGAUCGGCAAAACUGGAAUUGAGCAACGGUCAAGACUCCUACGGGAGGAAGCAGAAGGGAAUCUUCCGAAAUGGGCGAAGGCCUGACGGAGCAAGGCGGCGUGAGUGAUGAAGGUCUUCGGAUCGUAAAACUCGGUUAUUGGGGAAGAACAUAUGUGUAAUUAACAGUGCACAAAGUGACGGUACCUAAUCAGAAAGCCACGGCUAACUACGUG
rnacentral:rRNA from 1 species